AACGAACGCUGGCGGCAUGCCUAACACAUGCAAGUCGAACGAGACCUUCGGGUCUAGUGGCGCACGGGUGCGUAACGCGUGGUAACCUGCCCUUAGGUUCGGAAUAACUCCCCGUAAGGGGUGCUAAUACCGGAUAAUGUCUUCGGACCAAAGAUUUAUCGCCUUUGGAUGGGCGCGCGUUGGAUUAGCUAGUUGGUAGGGUAAAAGCCUACCAAGGCGACGAUCCAUAGCUGGUCUGAGAGGAGGAUCAGCCACACUGGAGCUGAGACACGGCCCAGACUCGUACGGAAGGCAGGAGAGGGGAAUAUAGGACAAUGGGGGAAAGCCUGAUCCAGCAAUGCCGGGUGAGUGAUGAAGGCCGUAGGGUAGUAAAGCUCUUUUACCCGGGAUGAUAAUGACGGUACCGGGAGAAUAAGCUCCGGCUAACUACGUG
rnacentral:rRNA from 1 species